ACAGGAAGUAGGACAGAGCAAUGGAGGGAAGCCAGAUUUAAUGUCAGAAGUCUGGACCAUCAAUUUUAUCCCUUCCCAUUGCCUCCUUUUAAAUUUUAGUCAAUUCAAUAAAUAUUUUCAACUCCUCGUCUGUACCAGGCACCAAGCCACAGAAUGGAGUUCUGGCAAUGAACACUGCAGACAUGGCCGCCUUUAGCCUCAUGGAGCUUAGGGUCUGGGAGCAUUGUCAGUUUCUGAAUCCUCCAAGUGCUAAACUAUCUUCUCUCUUCAAAUUAGAGAAAAGAAAUGAGACAGCAGGCCUGCUUCUUUGAGUGUUUUUUUCUUUUUUGUUUCCGUUUUCUGACAACCAUACUUCACGUCUGACAGAGGAAAUGAUUCUUUUUGUCAGUGAUAAAUUUAUGAGUUUUGACUGUUUGUGAAGUUCCCUAAUUAAUUCUUUAUAGACUUCUAUUGGCAACUGAAUUUGUGUUUUGAGUUAAAAAUGGGAGUUCAGAUGAAUUACAGUUGAACAUUCUGCUCCCUUUGAAGAGCUCAUACUCCACAUUCUACGCUGUUAAUCUCUCUGCUUACUGAGAGGCACCGUUUGUCUUGCAGUGACGCACGGUGGGUGGUUACCAUGGCAUAGGAAAACAUUGCCAGCGCUGGCCCUGUCGUCAUGGAACCCCUGGGCCAUCUCCUGAGAAACUUGGUUGGAAUAAAUGCAGAUGCUGCAAAUUGAUGGAGGCCUGGUGUCUUCCAGAGUGGAGGUAAAGGCUGGCUGAGGAAUCAGUGAGGCCAGGAAGAGGGCUCAGCUGAGCAACUGAUCAAAGCAUCCCUCUUCAGGAAGGAGCUUCCUGUGUUUUCUCUGGGAACUCACCUGUUUUCCACUCCAGACUCUCCAAGAUAUGCAGAGCUUUGGGCCAGGAUCCUACAGCCACGGGUCAUGCAGAGCCAGUUGGCCACAUCCUUUGGGCCAAAUUUGGUCCUAACCAGGUCUUACCACGGUAACUGCUAACCAGUCCAUCUUCAGUUAAUAUUUCAUGCGUAAGAUGUUUCAUGAAGUAACUGAAUGGGCUAAUGGGUUGUUCACUGGAUAAGACUCCCAGAUACUCCCUUUCAUGCCAUUCCCCAGAAUUCCUUCACCUCCCAGUGCUGUCUGUAAGGGUGAAGAUACUCCAUUUUGCCCCAUGCUCUUUGCUGUGCCCCAGAUAGGCUCAAACAUUUUUCCCUUUUGGGGAUUUUGCAGGUAGGAAUUGUUGAACAUCUUACCAUUUAAUCCAGAAGUUAUGUCCUUUAAGGAAUCGACCCUGAGCCUGUGAGUUUUACUUUGGGUUGGGGGUGAAGGAGUGGACCUUGCAGCAUUCAAGGUCAUCCAAGAUCAUCCAGUUAAGGCCCCUAAGGUCACUACGGGGGGAAAAGCCUGGUGAGGGAAGAGAAAGCAUUAGGGGGAGCUGCACCGUGCUGAGAAAUAACACCACACAGAAGUCUGUGUUCUAAUCUCAGCUCUGCUUUGCAUUACUGUGUGACCUGGAGCUGAUCACAGCCCUCUGAGUCUUAAAGGGGUUGGACAAGGCCAACUAAACAUUAGAAACACCUGAAAGUGCUGGUUAAAAGGAAGAAUGCAUGAGCUUCACUCCAGAUUUACUAUAUCAGAAUUUCCAGGGUCAGGGUCCAAGAAUCUGCAUGUUUAAUACGCUUUCCACAUGAUUUUUCCCCCCUCUGGACUUAAGAAAACAAUGGGCAAGUCAGCUCAUGAAGAACUUUUCAGAUAUUCAGACUAUUAUUCUGAGAGAGAAAAUAUUGGCAGAGAACAGAUGGGAUUUUUCUCAAGGAAAAGAAAUGGAAAUCCUACAUCUUGCAAGAAAUAGAAAAAAAUAAAUAAACUGUUUGAAGAAGAAUCACAUCAGGCUGGCAGGAGAGAGCCUGCGGCUCGGUGUCUGACCCAGAAUGUUAAAGCCAGCCUGGCUUGGCUCCAGGAUAAAGGACACUCUGUCAGCCUCUCCACAUUGAUUCAUCUCCCCAGCCCCAAGAUCAGGAGAGCAUUCUGUUCCUUGAAGCAUUUUAUGACUGUAAGUCAGAAGUGCUGCAGUUUUAAUAAAAAGCUGUAUUGUCCUGA
ensembl:lncRNA novel transcript